UUGUAACAAAUUAAUUUAAGGGAUCUUCAUCUUCUUUAAGUUCUCAUACAUACACUGACAUACUAGUAAAUUGAAAGAUUAAAUAGUGUAUUACAAAAGAGUUAGAAUACGUACUGAUCGAAAGUCUAGUACUAGUUUAAUUAAGUACAAUUAAUAUUAAAUAUAUCCAGGAGGCAGGCAGGCAGGCAGCAAUUUUGUGGUUAUUUGAUCUUCCUGUUCCUGACUACAGCAGCAUAUACAGCCCCAAAUAUUACUACAACUGCCGCAGAUAUUAGAAGGGCUGAUUUCAAAUUUUCAACUCCAUCAUUUUCAGCUUUCUUUCUUGCUUCUUUUUUGGCUUCAUCCGCUUCUUCCUUCAAUACAACAAACAAAAUAUAUCAUCAAUCAAUCAAUAUUAUAUAUAUAUAUAGUACCCCAUCCGGAAAAUUUGAGACUUGAGUUUUAUAAAUUCAAGAUAAAUAAAUAUAAGAAGAACAAAAUAUAAUAUAAACUAAUAGUGGUAAAUUAAUAAAAUUACCUUGAAGUGUUUAGAAGUAGUAAAAUCAUGAGGAGCAACCUGAAAAUCGGAACUAAUCUCUGGCUCUAAUUCUCCAUCCUGAUUGUCAACGUCGGGGACAACAUCAGUCGCUGCAGAAGUUUCCAUUAUUUGCUUCUGUUCGCCGGAAUAUUAAAGUUUCUUCUUGUAAAGAUGCUACAAUAUUA
rnacentral:lncRNA from 1 species